rnacentral:misc_RNA from 1 species
AAUUUAAUUUGGUUCGGUUCGGUUCGGUUCGGUUCGGUUUGAACCGAAUGCUCACCCCUAGUCUCCUCCAGGGUGCUGCCAAAAAAAGAUCAAGAAGGCACUUGACUGAGACAGAUGAAUUUGUUACCAACAACAAUGAAAUUACUUUGAUGGAUUCUGUUGCAAUUUCCACAGCCUACCAGAAGAUGACGUCUCUUUGUUUGAAUAUUAAAAAUGAAAUUUGUGCUGACAUUGAAAUCCACAAUCAACAUAUAUUUCCCAGGUGUGGCUAUUUUUUUAAAUUUCAUAUUGCAUUACUUGAAAAUUGGGUCUUUUUUUAUUUUUAUUUUUAAGCUUGAUAUUCUCCUGAAGACUUAACCUUUUUAUUUAUUUACAAAGCAAUUGAAUUGAAUAGCAAAAUAUAAUUAAAUUACUGAUACAUAAUAAACAUGUAGUGGGUGGUAAGGGUUAUUUUAACGUGCAGUUUUUGUAGUUCUGCAUGGAAUAGCAUAAAUUGCCUCUAGUUUUUAAUAUAAGUUUUGGAACCUUAAAUAUAUAAAAUGGAGUUUUUUUUUUUUAAUAUCUUAUAUCUUAAAAUGCAUGCUGUGCAAUUUGUUGAUUUACUCUUAGAAUGUUAAUUAGUUGUUUGAAGUAGUUGAAUCAUGCAUGUCUUUUGAAUCAAAAGAUGGCUGAGCAGUUUUGUGUCAUGUACCUACUAUUGUGUUCUAUCUGAUUUUUAGAACAUAAUCUGCCUAGAUCUCAACUACAAAUGUAGUUUCCAGUAAAAACACAGUUAGAUCCUUCUGAUAGAAAGAAAAUUUAAUCCUGGGCAGCAUAAAAUGGGAAGAGCCUUUCUUUGAAAUUGCAAUUUCUGAUACAUUGGAGUGUGAAAGAACAGGACUUCUCUUUUGUAUUUUUGACACAGUAUAGGUGCCACGUGGUUACCUCGUGUAAGUGGCAAACUUUCUACUUAAUUAUGCAUUUGAUUUAUUCUCUGCGGACAACUUUUCCAGUCAAACUUCGCCAGUUAGCUUUGAGAUGUCAAUUGAAUGGUGUUUUGUUGUUUUAACCUAUUAAAGCCUAUGCCAUUAUUGUUCUGUCCACUCAUCAUUUGUGUUUUUCUUCCCAAUUUGUAAUGAAUAUGUAGGUGCUUGCUUGAUUUCUGGGCUGGUCUUUUCUAUGAUCUGAUGCCAGAUAUGUAAGAUUCUGAUGUCCAAGUUUCUUUUUCUGCAGUUUUAUAGACCUUCCAAAUUUAUCUUCAUCCAUAUACAGCACAGAGCUUUGCAAUAGAUUGCGGGCUUUCCUGCUUGCAUGGCCUCCAUCUGGUCCUUCACCUCCUGUAGCAGAACUUGUUAUUGCAACGGCUGAUUUUCAGAAAGACCUUGCCAGCUGGAAAAUUAGUCCUGUGAAAGGUGGAGUUGAUGCAAAAGAGUUAUUCCAUUUGUAUAUCAUGCUAUGGAUUCAAGACAAGCGCCUUUCCUUGCUUGAGUCAUGUAAACUAGACAAGGUAAAAUGGUCAGGAGUCAGGACACAACAUUCUACUACUCCCUUUGUUGACGAGAUGUAUGACCGUCUUAGAGAGACUCUAGAAAAUUAUGAAGUCAUCAUUUGCCGAUGGCCAGAAUAUGUUUUUGUGCUAGAAAAUGCUAUUGCUGAUGUUGAGAAGGCCAUUGUGGAAGCUUUGGACAAACAAUAUGCAGAUGUGCUAGCACCAUUGAAGGAGAAUUUGACACCUAAGAAAUUUGGCUUCAAGUAUGUCAAGAAGCUUACCCAACGAUCUGUAUCCUCAUAUACUAUUCCUGAUGAGCUUGGGAUUCUGUUGAAUUCCAUGAAGAGGAUGCUUGAUGUCCUGCGUCCCAAGAUAGAAAUUCAGUUCAAGUCAUGGGGUUCUUGCAUACCUGAUGGUGGAAACACUGCUCCGGGAGAGCGCCUUAGUGAAGUGACUGUGAUGCUGAGAGCCAAGUUUAGAAGUUAUCUGCAAGCUGUUGUAGAAAAACUAGCAGAGAAUACCAAGUUGCAGAAUACUACAAAAUUGAAAAAGAUUCUCCAAGAAUCAAAGGAAUCUGUGGUAGAAUCUGAUAUAAGAGUAAGAAUGCAGCCACUGAAAGACCAUCUGACAAACACAAUUAAUCACCUUCAAUCUGUUUUUGAGACUCAUGUUUUCAUCGCAAUCUGUCGAGGCUAUUGGGACCGCAUGGGGCAGGAUGUUCUUAAUUUCUUGGAGAACAGAAAAGAAAAUAGGUCCUGGUACAAAGGAUCUCGAAUAGCAGUGUCUGUCCUGGAUGAUACGUUUGCAUCACAGAUGCAGCAGCUGCUUGGGAAUGCACUACAAGAGAAAGAUCUUGAGCCACCUAGAUCAAUAAUGGAAGUCCGUUCAAUGCUUUGCAAGGAUGCUCCCAAUCACAAGGAGAACAGCUACUACUAUUGAAAGUGGUCGUGUUUGCAGAUACGAGUGGUACGAGGGCAUGUGAUUAUAUAAAGCAGGAGGUUGGUAAACAUUUGGCCUUUUGCUAAUCGUGUCCAUCAGUGAUACAGGUGCAUGCAAUUUUGAAGGGAGCAAGCGACUCGGUUGCUCUCUCAGAUUCGCCAAUCUGCCCUCCUUCAAGAAGCUAGUUUAGUUCUUAUUUUUGGGCAUAAAAUAUAUAGAGAGCAUUGGAACGUUGAUUUUAUACAUAUUUUGUAAUCGCCACACAAUGUAUAGUGUGGCAUUGAGCAUAGCAUUUAAUGGCUUGUUCCGUUGGUCUUACAUAUGAAAUUAAAUGAAUAUAUAAAUUUAAAAAUUUUUAUUUUAAAUGCAUUUUUAAAUUAAUCAAAUAAAAUCUUAUGGUUAAA